rnacentral:tRNA from 1 species
AGGAGAAUAGUUUUAAUGGUAGAAUAAUGGUCUCCAAAACCAGAGGUUAAGGGUUCGACUCCCUUUUCUCCUG